UGACUCAUGAAAAUAUGACAGCAUCUGUAACAGGAGUUGAUCAUUUUAUGGAAGAAUUCGAAGACAAGAUGACAGUGGAUGAUGUGUACAUAUCUUUCCUACCACUUGCUCAUAUACUUGAUCGGAUGAUUGAAGAAUUCUUCUUUCAUAGGGGUGCUUCUGUUGGCUACUUCCAUGGGAAUAUUAAUGAGAUACAAGAAGACAUGAUGGAGUUGAA
rnacentral:misc_RNA from 1 species